ACAUACCCUGGAUCUGGAGAUCGCCGAGGUGUGCACCCCAGCCGAGGUCCGAGGCAUCCGAUACCAACUCGAUGGAGUGAGAUGGGGUGUCAAAGAGAACUACCUCUAGGACUGUCCUGCGAUUGGUCCACCAUUGCAGUGAGAAGGCCCAAGGGGCAGCACAUGGCUUGCAGCACUGCAAUAUCCUUUUGGACUUGAGACCUAGAGCUGCUUUGACCAUCCAGUCAUUGAGGUAUGAGUAGAUCUGGAUUCCCUGAUGCCUCAGGACCUGGCUGUCGAAGCGAAGGUCCUUCAUCGACUGCUGAGCCUUGGUAGACAAGCUCGAGAGAAGCAGCCAGGAAGCUCACUGUGUAGAGAUGGUGGAGGCCACGGUGAAAGUGGCAGAAUCUGCCGUGUCUGAAGUUGCCUGGAGGGCCGAUCUGGCCGCAGCCAUGCCCUCCUCGAGGAUUGUCCGGAAUUCCUUCCUGAAGCCUUCGAGGAGCGAAGCCUCAAACUUGGCCAUGGCUUGCCACAUGUUGUAAUCGUAGUGGCCAAGUGAUUGGCCACUCUCAGCU